GACGAACGCUGUCGGCGUGCUUAACACAUGCAAGUCGAACGGAAAGGCCCUGCUUUUGUGGGGUGCUCGAGUGGCGAACGGGUGAGUAACACGUGAGUAACCUGCCCUUGACUUUGGGAUAACUUCAGGAAACUGGGGCUAAUACCGGAUAGGAGCUCCUGCUGCAUGGUGGGGGUUGGAAAGUUUCGGCGGUUGGGGAUGGACUCGCGGCUUAUCAGCUUGUUGGUGGGGUAGUGGCUUACCAAGGCUUUGACGGGUAGCCGGCCUGAGAGGGUGACCGGCCACAUUGGGACUGAGAUACGGCCCAGACUCCUACGGGAGGCAGCAGUGGGGAAUAUUGCACAAUGGGCGGAAGCCUGAUGCAGCAACGCCGCGUGCGGGAUGACGGCCUUCGGGUUGUAAACCGCUUUCGCCUGUGACGAAGCGUGAGUGACGGUAAUGGGUAAAGAAGCACCGGCUAACUACGUGCCAGCAGCCGCGGUGAUACGUAGGGUGCGAGCGUUGUCCGGAUUUAUUGGGCGUAAAGGGCUCGUAGGUGGUUGAUCGCGUCGGAAGUGUAAUCUUGGGGCUUAACCCUGAGCGUGCUUACGAUACGGGUUGACUUGAGGAAGGUAGGGGAGAAUGGAAUUCCUGGUGGAGCGGUGGAAUGCGCAGAUAUCAGGAGGAACACCAGUGGCGAAGGCGGUUCUCUGGGCCUUUCCUGACGCUGAGGAGCGAAAGCGUGGGGAGCGAACAGGCUUAGAUACCCUGGUAGUCCACGCUGUAAACGGUGGGUACUAGGUGUGGGGUCCAUUCCACGGGUUCCGUGCCGUAGCUAACGCUUUAAGUACCCCGCCUGGGGAGUACGGCCGCAAGGCUAAAACUCAAAGGAAUUGACGGGGCCCCGCACAAGCGGCGGAGCAUGCGGAUUAAUUCGAUGCAACGCGUAGAACCUUACCUGGGUUUGACAUGGAUCGGGAGUGCUCAGAGAUGGGUGUGCCUCUUUUGGGGUCGGUUCACAGGUGGUGCAUGGCUGUCGUCAGCUCGUGUCGUGAGAUGUUGGGUUAAGUCCCGCAACGAGCGCAACCCUUGUUCACUGUUGCCAGCACGUUAUGGUGGGGACUCAGUGGAGACCGCCGGGGUCAACUCGGAGGAAGGUGGGGAUGACGUCAAGUCAUCAUGCCCCUUAUGUCCAGGGCUUCACGCAUGCUACAAUGGCUGGUACAGAGAGUGGCGAGCCUGUGAGGGUGAGCGAAUCUCGGAAAGCCGGUCUCAGUUCGGAUUGGGGUCUGCAACUCGACCUCAUGAAGUCGGAGUCGCUAGUAAUCGCAGAUCAGCAACGCUGCGGUGAAUACGUUCCCGGG
rnacentral:rRNA from 1 species